UACGUACUGUGCGAACGUUAUUCGGAAUCACUGGGCUUAAAGGGUGUGUAGGCGGCUGGACAAGCAGGGUGUGAAAGGCUUCGGCUCAACCGGGGCAUUGCGCUCCGGACUGUCCGGCUCGAGCAAGACAGGGGUGUGCGGAACUUCCAGUGGAGCGGUGAAAUGUGUUGAUAUUGGAAGGAACGCCGGUGGCGAAAGCGGCACACUGGGUCUUGUCUGACGCUGAGACACGAAAGCCAGGGGAGCGAACGGG
rnacentral:misc_RNA from 1 species